rnacentral:lncRNA from 1 species
UUAAAUGCCAAAAUAGCACCUGGCUAAAGAUAAACUUUUUGUUUUGUUUUGUUUUAAAUGCCUGAAACACAUGCUAUUGCAUACGCCAGGGGAAAUAUCUGACAUUAAUGCUGCUUAGCAACAAAACAAACUGAUGAUGAAUCUUAAAAAAAAAAAGCCUUUACUUUUCUAAAAAAGGGAUUAAGCAUUGAUUGCAGGGAAGUGGACUGCAAUCGGAUCUAUCCUAUGAAGUCUCUGUUUGUGGUGCAAUGCUGUUCCUAAGCACGUUCCUGAGAAUGCAGCUUUAUUCUGCUCACUCACGUUAGCAGCCGGAGCAGUGUUGUUUCAGCUUGGAGUUCCUUAAGGCCCUUGCUUCGUGUUGGCGAAGGGGGAAGAAUGGGAGUAACAUGGCUACGAUUAUGCGGACACCUCUGACAGAGCUAGACCAGUUACAAGGUGACUGGCAGACUCUUCGAGGGGCCUGAGGAAGGCAGCUGCUGACAGCAGGGGUUCCCUCUCCCUGCCACAAUUCCCAUCCCUCCUGAAGCUCUGUCGCUUGCUGCUAGGUGAGGAUGCAGUUUGCCACUUUCUCUCUCUAAAUUUGGUCCCAACUUGAAACAGCGAAUUGAUUGCAAAUCUUUUUGGAAGAAGUUCACAAAAAAGCUAGCCAUCUGCAACCAAAAAUCGCUUUGCAAACGUGCUAUAAAUUAACCUAGAAUAUUCCAGUGACGAAGAGGAGAACAUCAUUUGUGCUGUCCC